rnacentral:rRNA from 1 species
AGUGAACGCUGGCGGCGUGCUUAACACAUGCAAGUCGAACGAGAACGGAAUAUAGCUUGCUAUAUUUGUCAGCUAAGUGGCGCACGGGUGAGUAAUGUAUAGAUAACCUGCCCUUAAGAAAGGAAUAACAGUUGGAAACGACUGCUAAUGCCCUAUAUGCCUUUAAUACACAAGUAUGCAAGGGAAACGCUUUAGUGCUUAAGGAUGGGUCUGUAUGGUAUCAGCUUGUUGGUGAGGUAAUGGCUCACCAAGGCUAUGACGCCUAACUGGUUUGAGAGGAUGGUCAGUCACACUGGAACUGAGACACGGUGCAGACGCCUACGGGAGGCAGCAGUGGAGAAUAUUGCACAGUGGACGAAAGUCUGAUGCAGAAACGCCGCGUUGAGGAUGACACAUUUCGGUGCGUAAACUCCUUUUAUAUAGGAAGAUAAUGACGGUACUAUAUGAAUAAGCACCGGCUAACUCCGUGCCAGCCGCCGCGGUAA